CACUUGGCUGUAGCCGAGUCAUUACCCCAACCGAAAGGAGGGGGAUGCCUAAGGCAGGACUGGUGACUGGGGUGAAGUCGUAACAAGGUAGCCGUACCGGAAGGUGUGGCUGGAUCACCUCCUUUUUAGGGAGACCUACCCAAUCGGAAUCUGAGAAAUAGUCAUCAACAGAUACUGAAUUGGUCAUCCCAGGUCGUUCGAGGUUGGUCAAACUUUCAAAGUAUUAUUUAGGUUCAGAGCAAAAACCAAAAAGCGGAACAAGCCAGCACCUAGAGAAAAGAGAAACUAGAAUGCUGGGUCAAAUCCAGCCAGAACCAUGAAAACUGCAUAAGAAAGCGAGAAAAAAGCAGGCAGACACAGACUGGAAUAGAGUAGGUGUUUGCAGGAUAGAACCAAUGUUAUAGUGGUCAAGCUAAUAAGAGCUAAUGGUGGAUACCUAGGCACACAGGA
rnacentral:misc_RNA from 1 species